rnacentral:rRNA from 1 species
UGGGGAAUAUUGCACAAUGGGCGCAAGCCUGAUGCAGCCAUGCCGCGUGUGUGAAGAAGGCCUUCGGGUUGUAAAGCACUUUCAGCGAGGAGGAAGGUGGUGAACUUAAUACGUUCAUCAAUUGACGUUACUCGCAGAAGAAGCACCGGCUAACUCCGUGCCAGCAGCCGCGGUAAUACGGAGGGUGCAAGCGUUAAUCGGAAUUACUGGGCGUAAAGCGCACGCAGGCGGUUUGUUAAGUCAGAUGUGAAAUCCCCCGGGCUCAACCUGGGAACUGCAUUUGAAACUGGCAAGCUAGAGUCUCGUAGAGGGGGGUAGAAUUCCAGGUGUAGCGGUGAAAUGCGUAGAGAUCUGGAGGAAUACCGGUGGCGAAGGCGGCCCCCCUGGACGAAGACUGACGCUCAGGUGCGAAAGCGUGGGGAGCAAAACAGGAUUAGAUACCCUGGUAGUCCACGCUGUAAAACGAUGUCGAUUUGGAGGUUGUGCCCUUGAGGCGUGGCUUCCGGAGCUAACGCGUUAAAUCGACCGCCUGGGGAGUACGGCCGCAAGGUUAAAACUCAAAUGAAUUGAC